AUUGAACGCUGGCGGCAUGCCUUACACAUGCAAGUCGAACGGCAGCACGGGGGCAACCCUGGUGGCGAGUGGCGAACGGGUGAGUAAUGCAUCGGAACGUGCCCAGUAGUGGGGGAUAACUAGUCGAAAGAUUAGCUAAUACCGCAUACGACCUAUGGGUGAAAGCGGGGGACCUUUACCGGCCUCGCGCUAUCGGAGCGGCCGAUGUCUGAUUAGCUAGUUGGCGGGGUAAAAGCCCACCAAGGCUUCGAUCAGUAGCUGGUCUGAGAGGACGACCAGCCAC
rnacentral:rRNA from 1 species